ACGGCUCAGUAACACGUAGUCAACCUACCCUAUGGACGGGGAUAACCUCGGGAAACUGAGAAUAAUACCCGAUAGAACAUUAUACCUGGAAUGGUUUAUGUUUCAAAUAAUUUAUUGCCGUAGGAUGGGACUGCGGCCUAUCAGUUUGUUGGUGAGGUAAUGGCCCACCAAGACUAUUACAGGUACGGGCUCUGAGAGGAGUAGCCCGGAGAUGGGUACUGAGACACGGACCCAGGCCCUAUGGGGCGCAGCAGGCGAGAAAACUUUGCAAUGUGCGAAAGCACGACAAGGUUAAUCCGAGUGGUUUCUGCUAAAGGAACCUUUUGUUAGUCAUAGAACCACUAAUGAAUAAGGGGUGGGCAAGUUCUGGUGUCAGCCGCCGCGGUAAAACCAGCACCUCAAGUGGUCAGGAUGAUUAUUGGGCCUAAAGCAUCCGUAGCCUGCUUUGUUAGUUUUCGGUUAAAUCCAUACGCUCAACGUAUGGGCUGCCGGGAAUACUGCAAAGCUAGGGAGUGGGAGAGGUAGACGGUACUCGGUAGGAAGGGGUAAAAUCCUUUGAUCUAUUGAUGACCACCUGUGGCGAAGGCGGUCUACCAGAACACGUCCGACGGUGAGGGAUGAAAGCUGGGGGAGCAAACCGGAUUAGAUACCCGGGUAGUCCCAGCUGUAAACUAUGCAAACUCGGUGAUGCAUUGGCUUGAUGCCAAUGCAGUGCCGCAGGGAAGCCGUUAAGUUUGCCGCCUGGGAAGUACGUACGCAAGUAUGAAACUUAAAGGAAUUGGCGGGGGAGCACCACAAGGGGUGAAGCCUGCGGUUCAAUUGGAGUCAACGCCGGG
rnacentral:rRNA from 1 species